AGUGAACGCUGGCGGUAGGCCUAACACAUGCAAGUCGAACGGCAGCACAGUAAGAGCUCGCCCUUACGGGUGGCGAGUGGCGGACGGGUGAGGAAUACAUCGGCAUCUACUUUUUCGUGGGGGAUAACGUAGGGCAACUUAUGCUAAUACCGCAUACGACCUACGGGUGAAAGCAGGGGAUCUACGCACCUUGCCUGAUAGAUUGAGCCGAUGUCGCAUUAGCUAGUCGGCGGGGUAAAGGCACACCAAGGCAACGAUGCGUAGCUGAUCUGAGAGGAUGAUCGGCCACACUGGAACUGAGACACGGUCCAGACUCCUACGGGAGGCAGCAGUAGGGAAUAUUGCGCAAUGGGCGAAAGCCUGACGGAGCAACGCCGCGUGAGUGAAGAAGGCCUUCGGAUCGUAAAACUCUUUUAUGAGGGAAGAAAAAAUGUGUAAGUAACUAUGCACGUCUUGACGGUACCUAAUCAGAAAGCCCCGGCUAACUACGUG
rnacentral:rRNA from 1 species